rnacentral:lncRNA from 1 species
AUUUUUUCAUUCAUUGUUUACACUUUAGAAGUUUUGUUUUUAUGCUUUAAAUAUAUAUAAUACACAUGUGUGUAUGUGUGAACCCGUAUGUACACAUUUAUUACCUUACCCCGAAAAGAUAGAACAACAACGCACCAGCAAAAUUUUGUGAUGUGGCGCAGGAUUAUUAUGCAAUUGUUAUUUCCCUUGUUUAAAACCAUGAAUUUUAUAUUUCCCUAUUUUGUUAUUU